CUCAGCUGCAAUGGAGGCACCCGUAUAGAAGCAUAUUCUAAGGAUACCCUAUCAUUCCAACAACAACCAAAGCAUAUACCAUUCGAAUUUACAGGUGCGUGGCAUCAUGCCUUCCCUGGUUGUUCAAGGAUGGAGGGAAAAAAAAAAUAUCAAAGCAAGUGUAAGCUAACCUUUCAAGCUUCAAGAAUCCCAGCAUUCUCCUGUCGAUAAAAAAUAAGAAAAACACAGCUUUUCUCUGUGUACUCUCUGCUCCUCUCCCUCAACAAUGAAACAAUCUCAUGAUAUGGUUCCUCAAUCUUUAAUUCUUUCAUGCUUAGAAAUCCCAGCGUCUGAAUCAGCAUUCUCCUCUCGAUAAAAAAAGAAGAAGAAGGAAAACACAGAAAAUUUCUCCAUUGUUGUCGGCCAGCAGCAUAGAUAUUCCUCCUCUUAAAGGAUGGGCUCAAAAUGCUUCACGUGUCGCCUCAGCAUGCAAGAUUACCAGAGCAUCCCUACUUGGUUGUCUCAACAACUUUCCAGCACUUAAAUAAUGCCACCUCAUCAUCACUCCACCAAAAUAGCUGGAAGAAAAAGAAAACAAGCAAGCGCCGUCAGCUCUUACACGCCGUUAAGUCUCGAGCUGUGCGAAAUGCGAGGAGGGAUUAGGUGACGGCAUCACAGCCCAAUUGGGCCCAUUUGCACAAUUAAUUUAAACCAAGGUAACUAUAUAAAAUUAUAGAAUUAACUUUU